rnacentral:rRNA from 1 species
GACGAACGCUGGCGGCGUGCCUAAUACAUGCAAGUCGAGCGGACCGGAUUGGGGCUUGCCUUGAUUCGGUCAGCGGCGGACGGGUGAGUAACACGUGGGCAACCUGCCCGCAAGACCGGGAUAACUCCGGGAAACCGGAGCUAAUACCGGAUAACACCGAAGACCGCAUGGUCUUCGGUUGAAAGGCGGCCUUUGGGCUGUCACUUGCGGAUGGGCCCGCGGCGCAUUAGCUAGUUGGUGAGGUAACGGCUCACCAAGGCGACGAUGCGUAGCCGGCCUGAGAGGGUGACCGGCCACACUGGGACUGAGACACGGCCCAGACUCCUACGGGAGGCAGCAGUAGGGAAUCUUCCGCAAUGGGCGAAAGCCUGACGGAGCGACGCCGCGUGAGCGAAGAAGGCCGUCGGGUCGGAAAGCUCUGUUGUGAGGGACGAAGGAGCGUCGUUCGAAGAGGGCGGCGCGGUGACGGUACCUCACGAGAAAGCCCCGGCUAACUACGUG